rnacentral:rRNA from 1 species
GAUGAACGCUGGCGGCGUGCUUAACACAUGCAAGUCGAACGAAGCACUUUAUUUGAUUUCCUUCGGGACUGAUUAUUUUGUGACUGGGUGGCGGACGGGUGAGUAACGCGUGGGUAACCUGCCUUGUACAGGGGGAUAACAGUUGGAAACGGCUGCUAAUACCGCAUAAGCGCACAGCAUCGCAUGAUGCAGUGUGAAAAACUCCGGUGGUAUAAGAUGGACCCGCGUUGGAUUAGCUAGUUGGUGAGGUAACGGCCCACCAAGGCGACGAUCCAUAGCCGACCUGAGAGGGUGACCGGCCACAUUGGGACUGAGACACGGCCCAAACUCCUACGGGAGGCAGCAGUGGGGAAUAUUGCACAAUGGGCGAAAGCCUGAUGCAGCGACGCCGCGUGAGCGAAGAAGUAUUUCGGUAUGUAAAGCUCUAUCAGCAGGGAAGAUAAUGACGGUACCUGACGAAGAAGCACCGGCUAAAUACGUG